UCUGAAACUGCAGCUCUGUCUCCUAGUCAGGAAAGGAGAAUAGAACCUGAGACAACUGCAGAUAUGUCUAUUUCUUCACCACCUCAGCCAAAUACUAUUCCAAUGCACAGUGAGGUUGCACACACAGUUGAAGAAUUGACGGUUGCGAACACUUUGUCGUCCAUGUCAGGGAUAGACACUGUUGUUUCUGAUCCUUUUCAGGGUCAAUUGCCUUCACAGGCUUCUGGGGGAAACUUGGAUGAAUUGCCACAUUCUACAUCCUUGUCUACCCCCUGGGAGGAACAUUCCCAGAUCCUUCAAAGGACUCUUCACCUCUCGAAGGUGAACGGCAAUCUGUUUCUGAGCCCUUCGUAUCAGGAAGUGUGCCAGUUAUAGAGGACUUGUCACAAAGUC
rnacentral:lncRNA from 1 species